CCUGAAGUUGACAUUUUAUGGAGACUUCAACCCGAACCACAAAUCUUUAUUUGAAUUACUCAACAAGAACUUACAAGCAAAAUAUUUUCCAUGCACAAUAAUAUCCAUAAUAUCCACAAUGAAUUAGAUAAGCUAGUCUACCAACAAUUCAGAAUGUCCUUGAGAUCGGUCGUAGCAUCCCUUUGUGCAUAAUCAUCUACUGUAUUAUAUAUACCGAUAUACAUACAAUGCGUGUCUAUCCAUAUCUUUCCAUGGGAACGGGUAUAUUGUAGACAUAAGAAUGUUAUUACUGCAUUCCCUAAUAUUGUAACAUUAAAACUUUAACUGUUUGUUUUAGGGUUUUUUGUUUUUUG